GCAAACACUAACAGGGAGAAGCCGGAAAGUGGGGUUGACUGCACAUGCGCAGACGAAAACGCGCAUAUCCGUUCCCAGCAUGCUGCGCGGUAACCCAUAACAUGCAAGACUACGUUUCACAUGCAGUACGGCGCCAGCUGUCAGUGUUUUUUUGUUUGUUUUUCCCCCAAGAUUUAUGGCGUAAUAACAUGGACCGUCCUGAUAACUGGAGCCCGGGUUCUGUCAGAGCCCCAGAGGUUGUGGGUUAGACUUGAUGACAUAACAGCAAAUGCAGCGUGUGGUUACAGAAAGCAAGAGCCGCGGAAGACGUUUGAAAACAAUUGGGAAAAUUUGUAUACGGACUGGAAAUUAGAAUUAUUAAUUAAUUGUGGCAGCAUUGGGAUUAUGUAGGUAAUCUUGCUUAUUCAUAAAGAGAUGUCUAUGUAAGUAUUUAGGAUUGUAUUAUGUUUGUAAGUUUUUGGGUUUUUUGGUUUUUUUUUUUUUUUUUGAGACGGAGUCUUACUCUGUCGCCCAGGCUGGAGUGCAGUGGCGCGAUCUCGGCUAACUGCAACCUCCGCCUCCCGGGUUCAAGCGAUUCUCCUGCCUCAGCCUCCCAAGUAGCUGGGACUACAGGCGCCCGCCACUACGCCCAGCUAAUUUUUGUAUUUUUAGUAGAGACGGGGUUUCACCAUGUUGGCCAGGCUGGUCUCGAACUCCUCACCUCAAGUGAUCCGCCUGCCUUGGCCUCCCAAAGUGCUGGGUAUACAGGCGUGAGCUACCACUCCCGGCCCGUUUGUAAGUUCUUUUUAAAAAAUAAUUAGAAAUGGGAAGUAUGGCAAAAUGUUAAGAAUAUCUACUUCUAGAAUAUGGACAUGCUUAUUGACUAUGUGUUGGAAAAUUUUAUAAUAUAAAGUUGAUAAAGGGAAAAUUGGGACUGUAAUGUUACAAGUGUGCCUUUUAACUUAGAGCUGCCACAAAAAUACAUAAACAGCUUUGUGAAUAAAGCCGUAAAAUGUAACAAAUACUAGAAAAUGGAAACCAUUAUUAACAUAAAAGAAUAAUAUUUGUGAUCCUCAGUUUAUCUCUGGGGGGAAAAAAAGAAAAAGCAAGUAAGCUGUUCAGCAUUACAUAAUACCUGAAGUACACACAAUCCCAACUAAGAAAACCGUUAUCCACAAAUUAUGCAUCUCCUAGAGAUGAGCUUGCUUAAAUCUUAUGUGGUAUGCUUCUGAAAUCAGGAACCAAAUUAGGAACCUCUCAGCACAGUAUUUUAUGACACUCUUUUUAGUAACACACAUACACUCACACACACACGGUUGAUACUUUCUAACAGGUUAUUUUAUAUGGCAAUGAUAAGUUUUGAUUAGCAAGAAAAAAGAUUAAUGGCAACAGUAAACUAGUGCAGUAUAUAUGAAUCAAGGUAUAAAAUUUUACUGUUGACACUGAAAAACACUUUAAUAGAUACUGGAGGAAAAGACUAACAUUUGUUUUUAAAAAUUCUAAUCAUCUAUGUUUUCUAAGUAUAUAUUUUCUUUUUUUGACAUUUAUAUAUUUUGCCUGUUUUCCUAAAGGAACUAUUCCAAUUUUCAUUCUAAUAAAAACUUAUGGUAAUGAUCAGAAAAGAAUUGAAAAUGCAUAGCAAUAUCUCUAUAUUUACUAUGUAUACUAUCACUAAAUAUUUAAAAAUUUAUCCUGGUGCAGUAAAAGUUCAACUAUAUGAAAAAGAAAGAAUGUAGUAUGUAUCAGCUGGCUUUUAAAGCAGUGGAAAGAGAACCUUCAGUAACCUUGUUAGGACAAUGAGAUAGGUGCUGGGACAAAGGACAUAUCCAUGGCACUAACAUUACAAUCAAUAAUUUUCACAAGGAUUCAUUCAACAAUAAGCAAUUAAUAAUAUCAAAGUUUUAAAUUUUUAAAUUAUACAUUUCUUAAGUUUUUAAGAGAAACAGGUGUUUUAAAAAGAUAAACCCUUUAAUUCCUUUCCAAGGAAAGUCUCGCCCUUCACAUCUGUCUGAAGGCUGAGACCUUGCCUGGUGCCCAAAGAGCUGCUCUCCGCCAACUUCCAAGUUCGGCGCUGUGUGUGUAGAUGCAGCACCACCGCAGCUGAUAAAUAUUUGCAGUGAGGUUUGGUUUGUUUGUUUGUUUUUGAGACCGGGUCUCACUAUGUCACCGAGGCUGGAGUGAAGUGGUGCGAUCACGGCUUAUUGCAGCCUGGACUUCCUAGGCUCAAGUGAUCCUCCCACCUCAGCUUCCCAAGUAGCUAAGUUUUGGACCUCCCUCCCUCCCUUCCUCCCUCCCU
rnacentral:lncRNA from 1 species